UGGCCAGUGCAUACCCUAUGGCUAUGUGCUAGUAAACAUGGUAAACAUGAACAACGUCAUUAUUCAUCGGCUGUUCAUUUUACUCCGAGCUUUUUCUGAAACAUAUAGCCAUGAUGAUUAGGCCUACCAUGUACCAUGACCAAUAACAGCACUAGAUCAUGUAGAUGUCAACAAGUUCACAUGAACCGUUUAGCCCGCAUGGCGCAUGUGGCGCAUGCGUCUAAACCAAAGCCCCAAAAUCACUUGUUUUGGUCUAUUUCACUUGUGUUUACAACUGUUCAAUGGAUUUAUAGUUGAAUGCGAUCAAACUACGUCUUUUCAAUCGUGGAUUGUAAAUUUAACCCCAUGGGCCUAGGGAAGGCCCUAUAACAAUACUUUCGACACCGUGCUCACUGCUGAUUCUAAAAUGCACCACCUAGUCAAAACAGGACAUAUGUUCUUCUAGGAAUAGAUCUCUUUCCAAUAUUUCGUCAUUCCACUAUCGUCAUCACCUCAUGAUACUUUCAUUGACAUUACAGGCACACAUCCACAUAGCACUCUUCAAAUCAUCUACACAGUGGUUAUCCAACUAGGAUUAUAAAGGCACACAUUGACAUCGACCACUGUUGCAAUCAACGACACAGUCGCUAUCCAAGUAGCAUUGUAGAGCUGUCAUGCAACGCAACAACUGUGCUAUCUGCCAUCGCACAUCAACGAAGAAGUGCAGCCGCCCACAUUCCACCUCACGUCUGUCCGACCAGCUGCAAUCCUCGAGGACGCCCCACUGUACCACGAUUUCACUACGAUGUUUCACAAGAAGGAGCAGUGCGCGAGAUAGGCUAAUGAGCAGACUUCCCUCGCUUGAGUUUCGGAAGAAUGUUCCAUAUCGCGCUAAGCUGACCACUGCUGACCAUGACAGGCGUGCAUUGGACUGGUACAGGUUGGAACUGAACAUUGAAUAUGCUGGUGGUGACGCUUUCUGAUGAGAAGUUGGUCGUGACUGAUGCAGUAUCCUUGGACUUGUCAACAGCAUCGUUCAAUCAUUGGUCUCUGAGCUGCCUUGAUUCUGUACUUACCCAAAUACUAAGACCAAAUGCCUGUUGACUGUGCUUUAAGAGAGACUGGCGCCAUGCCUAGAGAUAUGACUGACCCCUAUUGGCAAAUUUGUAUGACUUUAUCUUGCCUACCUAGCUGCUGCCUAUAGUCUCCCUUUAACUGCAGAACACUUCAAAGUCGAUAAAAUGCCAUGUUCCACCUUUUAAUGUGUUCAGACCGCCAUUUUCAAAAUAAUCAAAUCAGGACACUGCCUUCUAGUCUCAUAAUAAAUUUUGCUUUCCUCAAUAAUAA